GCCCGGUUAGCUCAAUCGGUAGAGCGUGAGACUCUUAAUCUCAAGGUUGCGGGUAUGUACUUCUCUUCACCUGAGGUUAUUCACACAAUCAUAUGCUAACAUCAACUUGAAGGUUCGACCCCCGCAUCGGGCU